rnacentral:rRNA from 1 species
UAGGGAAUAUUGGGCAAUGGACGCAAGUCUGACCCAGCCAUCCCGCGUGAAGGAUGAAGGAUCUAUGGUUCGUAAACUUCUUUUAUUGGGGAAGAAAAAGUCUGAUUCAUCAGAAACUGACGGUACCCAAUGAAUAAGCACCGGCUAACUCCGUGCCAGCAGCCGCGGUAAUACGGAGGGUGCAAGCGUUAUCCGGAUUCACUGGGUUUAAAGGGUGCGUAGGCGGCUUGAUAAGUCAUUGGUGAAAGCUCGCAGCUUAACUGCGAAACUGCCAUUGAAACUGUCAAGCUUGAAUGUGGUUGAAGUGGGCGGAAUACAACAUGUAGCGGUGAAAUGCUUAGAUAUGUUUUAGAACACCGAUUGCGAAGGCAGCUCACUAAGCCAAUAUUGACGCUGAGGCACGAAAGCGUGGGUAGCGAACAGGAUUAGAUACCCCCGUAGUCC